GUGAACGCUGGCGGUAGGCCUAACACAUGCAAGUCGCACGGCAGCACAGUAAGAGCUUGCUCUUACGGGUGGCGAGUGGCGGACGGGUGAGGAAUACAUCGGAAUCUACUUUUUCGUGGGGGAUAACGUAGGGAAACUUACGCUAAUACCGCAUACGACCUACGGGUGGAAGCAGGGGAUCUUCGGACCUUGCGCGAUUGAAUGAGCCGAUGUCGGAUUAGCUAGUUGGCGGGGUAAAGGCCCACCAAGGCGACGAUCCGUAGCUGGUCUGAGAGGAUGAUCAGCCACACUGGAACUGAGACACGGUCCAGACUCCUACGGGAGGCAGCAGUGGGGAAUAUUGGACAAUGGGCGCAAGCCUGAUCCAGCCAUACCGCGUGGGUGAAGAAGGCCUUCGGGUUGUAAAGCCCUUUUGUUGGGAAAGAAAAGCAGCAGGUUAAUACCCCGCUGUUCUGACGGUACCCAAAGAAUAAGCACCGGCUAACUUCGU
rnacentral:rRNA from 1 species